rnacentral:rRNA from 1 species
GACAGAGGGUGCAAACGUUGUUCGGAAUUACUGGGCGUAAAGCGUGUGUAGGCGGUCUGUAAAGUCGGGUGUGAAAGCCCCGGGCUCAACCCGGGAAGUGCACUCGAAACUGGCGGGCUAGAGUAUCGGAGAGGUUGGUGGAAUUCUCGGUGUAGAGGUGAAAUUCGUAGAUAUCGAGAGGAACACCGGUGGCGAAGGCGGCCAACUGGACGAAUACUGACGCUGAGACUCGAAAGCGUGGGGAGCGAACAGG